UUACUUUCCUAAUUCGUUUCUCAUUAUCUGUCGUUCCUCUUUGAUCACUCACCGUCGAACCCUUGGUUCUUCUACUUUCCAUCUCAUCAAACCUCCAUCUUUAUCCUUAUCAAGUUCCUUGGUUUCAACUUAGCACCUCACCUCCAUCUCCGUCAAUCCUAGUUCUUUCGUUUCGACCCAACACUCCAUCAUCGAACCCUAAAUCUCGUGAUUUCUCUCCCGACCCAGCAAUUGAACCCUAAUCCUCGUGAUUAUCAAACCCUAAAUUCUUGCUUUCAACACCUCACGCCCUUCUUCUACUUAUUUUAGGUUAUUAUAAGAAAGGCAUACCUGAAAGGUUUUAGGGAAAUACUUGUUGCUUUACAGGAGCUCAAGACCAUCCCACGGGGGCUGUAUCUACCAUUGGAGAACUUUCUAAUGCGCAAAAGCUAAGAUACCAUUGGUAAGAUGCAUAGUUUUGUGUUGUUUUUUAUGAUUAUAAUAUAAUAAUUGGUCAUAAAUUAUAUGUUUUUAAAUCUUAAUAUUAUGUGUAUCCUUUUCAUUGUGACAUGCUUUAGGAAUAGAGCCAUUAGAUACAUGUGUUAAAAAAUUAACGAGUUCUAUAUCACAAUAUAUGGUUUGGUACUUAUUUUUACAAUUGAAAUUGAAUAUAUUUUGUGCAUAUGCUCCAGGUCUUGAUCUAUCAUCCCAGUUGAAUAAUAAUUGAUUAAAUUAAUAAGGAAUUAUUAAGUGUAAUCAUUACUUGUUUUGGUCAUUUUGGUUUUGUCCAUCAGGUUCCAAAGCAUAUGAAUCUGUGAGAAAUAUGCUACUCAUGGUAAUUACAAAUCAAAUGCUAAAUUCACUUUUGUGGCAAUGUUUAGAGUGGUUCAGUCUAUUAUACUUAUCUUAGAUAACUGAAUUCUGAAGCUCAAAUGCUUAUCUUAUUUGUCUUAUGGAGAUGCUAUCUUUAGGAGUAGAGGGAGGAUUUUGCUUCUAUCAUAGGGAGAUAGAUUUGUAUUGGGGUGAAGUAGUUUUCUUCAAGUUUGCUUUUGUAUAUUGGGAUAUUUAUUGACUGUGUUCUGGUUUAAGCAUUCCAUAUGCCUUAUUAUUGAAUAUAGUUUUCUUUGCUUAUUUAGAUAUUCCUUAUACUCUGUGUGUUCUGGUUUAGAAAUUCUUUGCUUAUUUAAUAUAGCCGACAUUGAUCAUUGCCUGAACCUUAUUUACAAAAUGCCUAUAAGUGUUUCGUUAUGGAACUGAAGUCAGGUAUAUCCAUUUCCUUUCUAAUUUUCGUUCGUGUUUCUUUCAUUUUAGUUUAACAUAUUUUUAAUCGAAAUUGGAGGCCUUGAAGUUGUGAUUUUGUGUGUGUGUGCGCGCGCGCGUGCCUGUGUUUGUAUCUCAUUGAAAAUCAAUUUUGCUCACCAUUGAACUUACACAUCUGCAGAUUAAGGGAAUUACCUAUAUCAGAGAUUGGAAGGCUUGUAUAUGUAAAAAGAGUGGUAAAGAGGACAAUAGUUUCGACCCGAGCUCCUCUAAGGGACUUUCAAGUGCCUAGAAUGAGUUGUGUACAUUGCUAGAAGUUGUUGCCACAAAAAGAGAUCACUUGCAUCCUCGUCGACGUCAUCAAGAUAAGUUGCAUGAAGUGAAGGAGGAAUGGAAAGAUUAUAUGGUCACAAAUAUUGUUCCUGAGGCAAAAAGUUUAAGCGACUUCUUGAAAACAUGAGAGAGGAGCUGGCUUGGUUGUAAAAUGGCAGAGGAAUGCUUAGGUUAAAUUUAAUUUGUUUGCUGUGGUGUUCUGACGAUCAUCAACCGGUUGCAGGAAAUGGACUGUUGGGAGCUUGUAGUAAAUCAAUUUUAUUGUCUUGUGGUUGGUUGUUUUAAUCUGAUUAAGGUUGAGGAUCAUAAGGACCUUUGUAUUAGCAUAAGUUUGUUUUGUUGGUUAGAUGUACUCAAAUAUUGUUUCAGACCAAAUCUAUUAUAUUUUUUCAUGUUAUAUUGAAAAA